rnacentral:lncRNA from 1 species
UGCUCGUUUGGCAGUCAAGUAAUCAUUGAUCAAUUUGUUUUGCUUAGUAAGUAGGACAGUCUGUUUGGAUCGCCGCAUCGUUCUAUAUAGAAUCAGUUUGUUCGACAUGGGACAGAGCCGCAUCCAGCAAUUUUUGCAGUUUGGAAUGUGGCACAGGCGCACGACUUCAUCCAGAAUCAGUUCGUCCGUUAUGGGACGCAACCGUGUCAUCUAGCGAUUUUAACAGAUCGGUUCAGUUCACGAUGCAAACCAAACAGAUAAUAAGCAAGCGCAAAGAAUCUAGAGAGAGGCAUGUGUUUCUGCUUUACCCGCGUACUCAUACAAACUGCCAGCGGCUGAGGACCUCCGCAGCGUGCAGCCGCCACCCCUUUGUGCAGGUGGCGCACAACGCACAGCCGCCCAGCAACGCCGCGCUUAGUCCGCCGGUUCCCUGUAACGUCCCGGUGGCUGAAGUCCGACGAUCACCGGCGAUCCCUGAUACGUCAUUGGACACAACAAGUCAACAUUACUGAAAAGACGACGAAUAUUUCCUCUAUUUAAGCAACACAAACACGACAUCACGAACAUAAUCAUUUACCAUGUUCACUCUAAUCGUUCAUUAGCUACUUAUUAUUAAACUAGUUAAGUACACAUAAGUUCUCAAUAACUUAUAUAUUUAGACAGACUUAGAUAGAAAGGGAUAGUCAUUUAAUCAGGGUUUUACAAUCAUUCACAAUAUUCUCAUGCAAGCACACACCUAAGAGAACACACAAGAGGAGAUAAUUUAAUGACCAUUACAUGUUAUACUACUUUAAUGACAUUGGUUGAUUAGUAGUAUAUAGGACUAGCAUAAAGCUAAAGAGAGGACAUUAUUCAUUUUGUUUCUCCGAACAUAUAACUGCAAUUGCUAAGUGUUGAUUAAGCUAAGCUACUUAUUAGACCUCAACAAAAUUAGUUCACUAACUUAGUGAAACAUGUACUACUUACUUAUAUAUAACCCAAAUUAUAUUAGUCACUAUCAUUAUUACUCAUGUUCAAUUAAAACCCAAAACAAGCAAGCAGUCGACUCAAGAAAAAUACAAUGAAGUAGAGCAAUCAAUCACAUUUAACAUGAUUAGGAAAGCAGCACAACAAUUACUUAUUUCAGUUAUAACUCACAAGACAUUCAUCUAAAAAUGCUGAUCAAAUACUUUUUGGAAAGCAUAAGAAAUUCUCUACAACUUUAGUAAUGUAGUCUCAAUCUGAUUAGACACUUAACAAGGUUAAAUCGUGACAAACGACAGUUCUGUUCAGAUUUGGACAGAUUCAGACUUGCGACUUCAAAAAUUCAUAACUAGAGACUCAGGCAUCCAAAUCAAUUGAUCCUAGAAUUUCUGGAAAUAUAAUGAAAUUGUCUGCAAAUCAUUUAUGAACAUCUUAGGUUGAUUUAACAUAUAUAAAGAGUAAAGACACUAGGAAGGCUUUCCUGUCCAGAACUGGACAGAUUCAGUCUUAACAUUUCAAACAUCUAUAACUCGAGCUUUAGACCACCAAAAAGGACGAUUCAAGACUUUUUGGAAAGCUUAGUAAAAGUACUACAUAACUUUUACAAUCACCAAGAAGUGGUUCCAAUUUUAAUUAACCUAAACAGUACAGUUUUCGAAAUCUGCCCGAACAGUGGACAGAACACAACAAUCAUAUUGUCAAAUUCAUAACUCUGAAACUAUCAAGCGAAUGGUUAUGAAAUUUUAACACAAGCAAUAUAAGAAAGUCAUCUACAACUUUCUUAUGACCACCAAAACUGAUUUUAACAUUAACUUAAGCAACCAUUGCAAUCUCUGAAAUAUGUUCAGAAAUUGGACAAAUUCAGUUAGUGAACUUGUGAAAAGCAUAACUUCUAAACCAUCAAUUCUUAGCUCAUGAAUUUUUAGGACGAGCUAGAUACACAAGUGAACUACAACUUUUAUAUAGCACAUAUCUACAGAAAACAUACUUUACUUUACUAAAUUACUCGCACAACCAAAAUUGUACAUGCAGGAAUUUCAGUUUGCUAGCACAAGAGCACUCAACUCAAUCACCAAACAAAAUCAUAAAGAGAUACUACCACCAAUUCUCAGUCUAAUUUAUCACGACUUAGUUAUCGACUUAUAAUCUAUAUCGAGUUACACUUAAGCAUGGUCACACAACAGAUGAUGUGGUGGCUACGUAGUCAUGCCAUCACUUCACCACACAAUCCAAGGUGACAUGACAACUCUAACCGAACUCGUUAACUACUCGAAAGAAGUCCAAAUCCAUUUCUCCUAUAACCUUGCAUCUCACCUAGGCUUCACCGAACAAGGUCGAUGCGUCUACUUCACCUCUACGAACAUAACCAUACACUAUAUAUGAAGUGUAAUUCAACGAACAUAUAACGCGCAUUGAUCCGACUUACAAACAUAGAGGAAGCGAUGACUAAUUCGGCAUGUCGCCACUUCUCUAUACAAGCCAAAUCACUUUCUAACCACACCGACCAAACCUUCUUAAUUAUCGAGCAAAACCUAAACUUCUCUGUUUCGAAUACAACCAUAUCAUAGCAUGCAUUCGAAACACUUGAUCGAACUUAACACAUCCACCAAAAUAAUGCACUUCGGCACACAUAUCCGACACUACAUAAAAUUAUGGUGAAGCACCACUAAUACCUUGCUCUAAACUAUCAUGACAUAACCAUUUAAUCUUUAAUUAGUACUAAGGUAUAAUUCAAACAUUCCAAGAGACAUGCAUGGUUUGCUUACUUUUAAUCCUUCACUAACUCUUCUUAUAAUUAUAUAAUGGGUGUUAUUUUAGCACCAUAUGAAACUAUCUAAUUUGGGGCUGGAAUUUUUAUAAUGCAUAGGUAAUAACAAGCUAUGACUAAUUUAUAAAUUUCACAUGCUCAGGUUUUAUAUUUUAUUUACUACAAAAAUAACAAAUUGUUAAUGCAAUAAAGCAUGUGAGAGCAAGUUAAAUCUAAAACUAAUUAUUUUCUGUGAGUACAUGACCAUAUUAGGUUUUAUUAGGCCACUACAACAUCAUGUAAAGACAGUGGAACACCAUUUCCCAUUUUUACGUCCAUAUAUUUUUUAUAAACUAUUUAAAACUACUUAAUGUGUAUUAAACAAGUUAAAUCACUAACUUAAUCAUACAUGCACAACAAAUCAUGAAAUGUUUACAUGUCACCAAGCAUCAAACCAAGAGUCUAUUUUAAAAAUUUGAACCCAUUUGGAGCACUAGAGCUACAGAUCCAAACAUAACAAGCAAAUCAAUCAUCUUUUUCCUAUUUAACAUGAUUUAAUUAACACACCAAGAAAACAGUAAACAACAUAUGUGUUUUAUAUUUUUCUUAGCUAGAAUAUGACACCAUAUAACUAGCAAAACAAGUCUCAUCAUUUUUGGAUUUUUAAAAUUAAAACUAUGGAGAGAAGCAAGUUCACAUAUUUUCUAAACCAGUUUUAAAUAUGAAUUUCUACAGCCAAUAUUUCUACUAAAACAUGCCAAAUUAUAGAUCUAACAGGUAUAGCAUUUCAUAAGGAAAUCAACAAAAUAAGUUUCAUGAUUUUAGGAGCUACCAAACUCAAGAUAUGAAUUUUUGAACACAACACAAAAAACUGCAAUUUUGUGCAAACUCACAUUUGACCCUGGGCCCAUUCGUCAUAGGCUCAUGGGGGACUUCUUCAACCUUGUUUCCAGCACGCACGCAGGGAGGAGACGGGGAGCUGCACUAAUGGGGAGGCCGAGCUGCACCAUGGGGAAAAGGGCGGUGCGGGGGAAAACAGAAGGAGGUGCAGGCGUCCAUGGAGCAGGGAAGGGGUACCAUGCUGGGGCUGCUGGGAAGGGGCUGACCAUGGAUGGAAGAUGGAGCAGGAGAGCGCCAUGGCUGUCGGGUAAAGCAGAGUGCCGGCCAAAGUGCAGGGGCUGCAGUGGUGUCUUCGAGGAGAACGCCGAGUGGGAGCUAGAGCAGGGGCUGCUCGGGAGAGAAAGAGCUCGAGGAGGAAGAGGUGUGUGG